rnacentral:lncRNA from 1 species
CAUGCAUUCCGCUUGUGUGUGUGACGUUAUUGAAGUACGUGUGCUCUAAAGGCAUUUUGUAGAAAUGUCUUUGUCUAAACGGUGCUUAGGCACAACACGAGUGGCCUUGAUGAUGUACUUUACGCUAAGGCUGAAGAGGCCAUGUCCAUCUGCUUAUUGCAAUUUCUUCCUGAAGAUUGUUUUUGGGUGCUUUAUCAAUUGUCCACAUUGUUCUGGGAGUAUCUUUGCCCUGAGUGAAGCCUGUCUGCUCCAGUCUAGUCUGGGUGAUUCAGAUAUGAGGACACUGGGAGUCAUGUUGGCUGGUUCCGUUUCUGCACCACCUUCAUGAGUUACUUGGGUGAGUCAGUUUUGAGUUCAGUCUUCUGAUCUAUUAGAUGAUUGGGUUGGAUCAAAUGAUGUCUCAGGUUCCUUCCAACUUGAUUACCUUUGGAUCAAAAGAGCUUUUUGAGUUACUUGGUAUAUUCUCAAUAACUGUUCACUUAUUUGUUAUACAGAAAGUUCUAGGAAAAGAUCUAGGACCAUCCCUAUUCUUUAAAACCUGAUAUGUUCAAAAACUGGUGAUGAACUACAUGUUCAUCACCAUGAUAAUUCCUACAU